rnacentral:rRNA from 1 species
CAGCCGCCGCGGUAAUACGUAGGGGGCAAGCGUUAUCCGGAAUUACUGGGUGUGAAGGGAGCGUAGACGGUUAAACAAGUCUGAAGUGAAAUGCCGGGGCUCAACCCCGGAGCUGCUUUGGGAACUGUAGAACUGGAGUGUCGGAGGGGUAAGCGGAAUUCCCAGUGUAGCGGUGAAAUGCGUAGAUAUUGGGAGGAACACCGGCGGCGAAGGCGGCUUACUGGACGACAACUGACGUUGAGGCUCGAAGGCGUGGGUAGCAAACAGGAUUAGAUACCCCGGUAGUCCCUGUCUCUUAUAC